GGGCGGAUAGCUCAGUUGGCUAGAGCGCUCGCUUUACACGCGAGAGGUCCAGGGUUCGAGUCCCUGUCUGCCCA
rnacentral:tRNA from 1 species